UACGUAGGUGGCAAGCGUUGUCCGGAUUUAUUGGGUUUAAAGGGUGCGUAGGCGGUCUAUUAAGUCAGUGCUGAAAUAUCCCGGCUUAACCGGGAGGGUGGCAUUGAUACUGAUGGACUUGAGUAAAGUUGAGGUUGGCGGAAUUGACGGUGUAGCGGUGAAAUGCUUAGAUAUCGUCAAGAACACCUAUUGCGAAGGCAGCUAACUAAGCUUAAACUGACGCUGGGGCACGAAAGUGUGGGGAUCAAACAGG
rnacentral:rRNA from 1 species